CCGCGAAGGGCGUGACGCCCGGUCGAUACGAAGUGUCCGUUUCCGGGCGCGUCAAGACCGUCGAAAAAUGCCGAGGACACCAGCAGCUCGCGUUCGACGGAACGGCACAUCGAGGCGAUGCGGCUGACUUCGUUGACCGCCGGACCGACGACANNNNUGCCGAUAUUGCCGUAAAAAACCUCGCCGACAUGCAAGGCCACGUAGGCCGAGGUGGUCGGCCUGUUCUCGGAUGCGCGCCGCUCGUUCAGGACCUGGAUGUUCUUUCUGAACUGGUUCUCGGCGCGCAGUGCCGCGCGCCGUGCAGAGCCCAUGUCGUCUU
rnacentral:misc_RNA from 1 species